rnacentral:rRNA from 1 species
CCUACGGGUGGCAGCAGUAGGGAAUCUUCCACAAUGGGCGAAAGCCUGAUGGAGCAACGCCGCGUGGGUGAAGAAGGUCUUCGGAUCGUAAAACCCUGUUGUUAGAGAAGAAAGUGCGUGAGAGUAACUGUUCACGUUUCGACGGUAUCUAACCAGAAAGCCACGGCUAACUACGUGCCAGCAGCCGCGGUAAUACGUAGGUGGCAAGCGUUAUCCGGUUUUAUUGGGCGUAAAGGGAACGCAGGCGGUCUUUUAAGUCUGAUGGGAAAGCCUUCGGCUUAACCGGGGUAGUGCAUUGGAAACUGGGAGUCUUGAGUGCAAAAGAGGAGAGUGGAACGCCAUGUGUAGCGGUGAAAUGCGUAGAUAUAUGGAAGAACACCAGUGGCGAAAGCGGCUCUCUGGUCUGUAACUGACGCUGAGGUUCGAAAGCGUGGGUAGCAAACAGGAUUAGAUACCCCAGUAGUC